rnacentral:siRNA from 1 species
CAAGGAAUGGGUGCUUCAG